ACUCCAUAUGUACUGUGAAAUUAUUAUUUUUUAAGGCUAGGCCAAGGAUUCUCGAGGGUAAUUAAGUUUAAAUGUUUAACCCCAAAGCUAGGCAUACACAACACAACAACGUGUGCGUGAGUGAGUAAGCAUGUCCCCCGUUUCUUUCAAAUCAAAACCCUAGCUAGGUUCAAGACAUCUUCGCCCGUGUCGAAAGCCAAUCCACCAUCGACCUCCCCCAAGUCAUCGUUGUCGGCAACCGGAGCAACGACAAGUCCAGCGUCCUCGAAGCCUUUGUUGGCCGCGACUUCCUCCCCCGCGGCAACGACAUCUGCACGCGCCGCCCCCUCGUCCUCCAGCUCGUCUAGACCAAGCGCAAGCCCAACCUCGACAACAAUGACGAGUACGGUGUGUUCCUCCACCUCCCCGACCAGAAAUUCCAUGAUUUCUCUGAGAUUCGCAGGGAAAUUUAGGUUUCAGAUAAAUCAAUAUAUUAAUUUGUACAAUGGCACUAGUGUUCUUCCUAGCAAUAUUUUUCAAGGAAAGGCAGCAGAGAUGGACUACAUAAACACUUCCACCUAAAUUUUAUUGGUGGAAGCAAGGCAUUAGAAAUAGUUGUGCAACAGACCAAGUCCUCUAGGGUUGCUAUACCAGUUUCUAGGCAAAAGGUAUACUUGUUAUGAGAUCUAAUUCCAAAUAUGCCCCAUAUUUUUCAUUUGAGAUAUGUAUUCUUAUUU